UGCCACCCCAGGCUUUUCUGACUGAAGAAAUACUCAGAAAGUCUACUAAACUGAGUCUUCAUAAUGGCUCCUUGGUGCUGUACCACAAAUGGUGUCCAAGAAGAUGACCAUGGACCAAUCCAUAGUUGCUUCAUUAUAUGACUGAAUUUUUCUUGGACCUGGGUAUUCCUUUCCCCAAGUUGAGAUAUUCACCUGGAAGACCUGUUUCGUCAUCCUGAGCUUCUUUGUGUAACUCAGCCAACAGAACCUCCUGCAGAAGAGGAAAACGUCCCUCAAGAUGAUUUAUUCCUUCAAGAAGUAUAGAAGUGAAUGCAGUCAUUCCUUCUGCCCAACUCUGGCUUGGAUAAUCCACUAAAUGCUAAAUUCCAAGUGAAACUUCUGCAUCAUUUACUGGAGGUAUUACUAGAGUGGGGCACUGAGUAAAUCAUCAAGGGGCUUUGCUCUCACUGUGUGCUGUGCAUUCAUGUGUGUAACAAGAGCAUACACAAGGACAGUCAUGCAGUGCACUGUCUUGGAGGGCGUUUGCCUGCAUUCCCAAGGAGACUAAUCCACCUUAGAUACAGUACGUGUAAUUUUCGGGAAGCCUGAACUGCUUCAGUGUGUGCGCGCUGGCAGUUGGCUCUGUCAAGGUGCAUGACCUAUGCAGUAUUCUGGAGUUGGGUUCUCGUUCCAUGGACAGCUGCCAGCAUGAAAAGGAGACAACUCUAAAGAAUCAUCCUGAAGUCAUCCUAGCUAAAAAAAAAUCAAGCAGCCACCAGCCAGAAACCACCAG